rnacentral:rRNA from 1 species
GACGUAGGAGGCGAGCGUUGUCCGGAGUUACUGGGCGUAAAGCGCGCGCAGGCGGUCACGCAGGUCAUCUGUGAAAGCACUCGGCUCAACCGGGAUGUUGCGGGUGAAACCGCGUGACUUGAGGGUGGGAGAGGUCGGUGGAAUUCCCGGUGUAGUGGUGAAAUGCGUAGAGAUCGAGAGGAACACCCGUAGCGAAGGCGGCCGACUGGACCACACCUGACGCUGAGGCGCGAAGGCCAGGGGAGCGAACGGG